rnacentral:misc_RNA from 1 species
UGCUUAUAGCCGCCUCCGCUUUCCUCGGUCAUGAGUGCGCGCCGUUCUGGUCGCUUUUGGCGACGUCAGCGAUCCUAUCACAGUCAAACGCGGCAGCUUCCCGCUCGGUGAACGUCGCGCCGCUAUUGGCGCAAACAGCAACUUUGCCUGUGAGUGCCUGCCACCGUCGAAUGGCAAUAUCGACGUAAAAUGGAUCGAUCUCGAUAAGAGCAGAACGGCGCUUUGUUUUCUCCGCUGCGAUAAGCGUGCUGCCUGAUCCACCGAAGAUAUCCAGCACGAUGUCACCGCGGGCGGAAGCGUCCCUAAUGAUAUCUGCUAUCAUUGCUA